rnacentral:rRNA from 1 species
UACGGAGGGUGCAAGCGUUGUUCGGAAUUACUGGGCGUAAAGCGCGUGUAGGCGGUCGGGCAAGUCAGAUGUGAAAGCCUUCCGCUUAACGGAAGAAGUGCAUUUGAAACUACCCGGCUAGAGUACGGGAGAGGAGAGUGGAAUUCCCGGUGUAGAGGUGAAAUUCGUAGAUAUCGGGAGGAACACCAGUGGCGAAGGCGGCUCUCUGGUCCGAUACUGACGCUGAGACGCGAAAGCGUGGGGAGCAAACAGG